rnacentral:rRNA from 1 species
CGCAGCCGGUGGGGCAGAGCAAGCGCGACGACCUGAAGGUCGGGAACCGGCAGGUGGCCGUGGCCAGUCUAGGCUGGUCGCCGGUUGUUAGCCAUCCCGUCGGUGGUCCGUCGCCCCACCGAGGUAUCACGAGGCCCUUGACGGGCUUCUUCGCCUCCCUCCACCGAGACGCGGGACUGACGGUCGCAGGGAAGCACUUCCACCGUCCCACUCCUCCGGAGUGGUCGGGAGAACCGUGCGGCGUCGUUGGCGACCGCGGACCCGUCGGAGGCCGGCGGCUGGCGGCGAGUAGGUCGGUCACCCACCCGACCCGUCUUGAAACACGGACCAAGGAGUCUAACAUGUGCGCGAGUCAAUGGGUCUUGAACAGGCCCAGGGGCGCAAUGAAAGCAAAGGUCGUCUUCAGUCGGCCGAGUUGGGAUCCCCCUCCUUAAAAAAGAGGGGGCGCACCAACGACCCGUCCUAUCCUGCUCGCAGGUUGGGCGGAGUGUGAGCGUACACGUUGGGACCCGAAAGAUGGUGAACUAUGCCCGGACAGGACGAGGCCAGAGGAAACUCUGGUGCAGGUCCG